rnacentral:misc_RNA from 1 species
CUUCAAGAUAUCAAGGAUACAUCAAGCAAAAAAACUGCAAAUGUCAACCUGGCUGCUUUGAUUCACACGGUUUAUAUGGUAAUACACAUCAAGCAAGCAUGGGCUCGCUUGAAGAAAGCGCAGGUGCGAUCAUGCUUUAUUGUUGAUAAUCAUAUCGAAAGCAAAACCAAUUGCUUUGCGACUGCUAAGCAGAGGAAGGAGCAUCAGGCUGCCUUGCGGGAUCAGAAGCUUGGAACACAGGAUGUUCGGUGUAUGCCUCAUGGAGCCUGAGUAAAGUAGGGAACUGAGACAUGUCGACUUUGAACCGUACUAUCGCUCCAGAAAUCUGGGGAGCCAAAAACAAAUCCGCCAGUUGGACUUCAUCUCCUGUAGCAUAUCUUCCGGCACAGCCUUCCAAUAGUUUCUCAAUAGCUCCAAAACCUUUACCAAUAUGAUACUGAGCCCACACAAUUGAUUCGGCAGAAUUAAACUUUUCCUCGAUAAAUCUGAGGACACCAAUAUUCUGAAGCGGCUGAAUGCUUGAACCAACAAUACUUGCUACCUGUAGAUUCAGCGCUUUCUUCCGAAGAUCAUCACGAGGCAGCAGUGGAACUUGAGGAUAUUUGUCUUCCAAAUACAGUAUGAUUGCAAGAGAAUCCACAAUUACUAUGUCCCCGUCCACCAGAGCCGGAACAUAUUUAAUCGGAUUUAUCUUCUCGAACUCUGGGUCGGACUGCUCGUUCUUCAAGAGGUUGACUGGCUUGUACUCGAAAUCCAAUCCUUUGAGGCCGAGGGCAAUACGGACGCGCUGAGAGCAGGAGCUACGCCAGUAGGAGUAGAGCUGCAGUUUCGGGGGAUUGGUCGCCAUGGAUCUCAGGGGUUACUCCGCUCGACGAUG